rnacentral:rRNA from 1 species
CCUACGGGUGGCAGCAGUGGGGAAUAUUGCGCAAUGGGCGAAAGCCUGACGCAGCGACGCCGCGUGAGGGAUGAAGGUCUUCGGAUCGUAAACCUCUGUCUGCAGGGAAGAACGGUCACUGUGCUAAUCAGCAGUGAAUUGACGGUACCUGCAACGGAAGCACCGGCUAACUCCGUGACAGCAGCCGCGGUAAUACGGAGGGUGCGAGCGGUAAUCGGCAUUACUGGGCGUAAAGCGCUCGUAGGCGGUAUGUCAAGUCAAGGGUGAAAUCCCCGCGCUCAACGGGGGAACUGCAUUUGAAACUGGCAAACUGGAGUGUGGGAGAGGAUAGUGGAAUUCCAGGUGUAGGAGUGAAAUGCGUAGAUAUCUGGAGGAACAUCAGUGGCGAAGGCGACUAUCUGGCACAUAACUGACGCUGAGGAGCGAAAGCGUGGGUAGCAAACAGGAUUAGAUACCUGUGUAGUC